AAGGGCACCACAAGAACGCGUGGAGCAUGUGGCUUAAUUUGACUCAACGCGGGAAAUCUUACCAGGUCCGAACAUACUGAGGAUUGACAGGUUUUUAUAAAAAAGAAUAUUUUUUAUUUUUUUUUAUAUCAAAUAUGCUAGUCCUUUCAUGAUCGUGUGAUAGGUGGUGCAUGGCCGUUCUUAGUUCGUGGAGUGAUCUGUCUGCUUAAUUGCGUUUCACAAAAACAAAGGUUAAUAACGGAUAGUUUUGGUUUUUGCACACCGAAAGUAUUUUUUUUUUUUAAGAAUUUUACUUUUGGUUGUUGCGCCAUAUCCGUGGUCAUUGACCUUGAAGGCAACGAACGUGACCGCAACAUCUUGUUGCUUUUUCUUUAUUAUAAUAUAUAUUUAUAUAUAUUACAAUAAUAUACAAAAGCUUUAUUGUGUUUUUUUUAUUUUUUUUUUUAAAAACAAAACAAACACAAGUUAAACUAGAUGGACCGCUGUAAUUUUCUAAACAGAGGAAGGUUGCGGCAAUAACAGGUCUGUGAUGCCCCUAGAUGUUCUGGGCUGCACACGUGCUACAAUGAUUAUUGCAGUAAGCAUCUUUUAUUUUAUUGAAAGAUUUAUAAUUAAAUUUUUAAUUAUAAAUCUGAGGAUAUUUUUUUUCAUUUCAUAUACAUUUUUUUUUUUUUUUAAAAAGAAUUAUAUGAUUGAUAAUAUCCGCAUGACCUACCUCGAAAGUAAGUAGGUAAUCAAUUCGAAGUAAUGAUUUCCUUUACAUUGUUUAUAUUAUUUUUUUUUUUUUUUUAAUUAAAAAUGUAUAAAUAAUUCGCACAUAAAUUUUAUUUUUUUAGUUUUGUUUCAUAUUCUUUGCGGAUUUAAUGUUCUUUUUUCUUUUUUAAAGAAAAAUCCAUUGUCAUGCAUUUAGAAAUGGGCUCAAAAAAGUUGAAAACAAUUUUUUUUGUUUUCAACUUUUUUAUAUAGCCUUUUGAAACAUUGUGCUCCAAAAUAUUACAAAAUAAAAAAGCAUAUAUAGUUUACUAUUAUGUUUUUUUAUUUUUUAAUUAAUUUCGUAGUGGGGACUGACCAUUGUUAAUUGUUGGUCACGUUUUCAACUAGGAAUGCCUUGUACGGGUCUUGGUUCUAACAAACCACCCGGAAUAUGUCCCUGCCCUUUGUACACACCGCCCGUCA
rnacentral:rRNA from 1 species